rnacentral:rRNA from 1 species
AGCAGCCGCGGUAAUUCCAGCUCCAAUAGCGUAUAUUAAAGUUGUUGCAGUUAAAAAGCUCGUAGUUGAACUUCGGGGUUUACCCAUUGGUCAGGCUUAAUUGUCUGCACUGGUGAGAUGAAUCUCUACCUUCUGAGGAACUCUCAUGCCAUUUAUUUGGUGUGAUGGGAAAUCAGGACUGUUACAUUGAAAAAAUUAGAGUGUUUAAAGCAGGCUAACGUCUGAAUACAUUAGCAUGGAAUAAUGAAAUAGGACGGACUGAUUCUAUUUCGUUGGUUUCUAGGAUCACCGUAAUGAUUAAUAGGGAUAGUUGGGGCAUUAGUAUUCAAUUGUCAGAGGUGAAAUUCUUGGAUUUAUUGAAGACUAGCUACUGCGAAAGCAUUUGCCAAGGAUGUUUUCAUUAAUCAAGAACGAAAGUUAGGGGAUCGAAGACGAUCAGAUACCGUCGUAGUCUUAACCAUAAACUAUGCCGACUAGGGAUCGGACGAAGUUAAUUUUAUAAUGACGCGUUCGGCACCUUACG